UACGAAGGGGGCUAGCGUUGCUCGGAAUCACUGGGCGUAAAGGGCGCGUAGGCGGCGUUUUAAGUCGGGGGUGAAAGCCUGUGGCUCAACCACAGAAUGGCCUUCGAUACUGGGACGCUUGAGUAUGGUAGAGGUUGGUGGAACUGCGAGUGUAGAGGUGAAAUUCGUAGAUAUUCGCAAGAACACCAGUGGCGAAGGCGGCUCACUGGCCCGGUACUGACGCUGAGGUGCGAAAGCGUGGGGAGCAAACAGG
rnacentral:rRNA from 1 species